GUUCGGAAAAUUGUCUGAAUCCUCCUUUGGCCACGACUGCCGACACAAGCAAGAAAACACUCAAACAUAAACAGUCAGCAAGAAAACAGUCAGCAAGACAACAGUCGACAAGAAAACAGUCAACAAGAAAACAGUCAGCAAGAAAACAGUCAACAAGAAAACAGUCAGCAAGAAAACAGUCAGCAAGAAAACAGUCAACAAGAAAACAGUCAACAAAAAACAGUCAACAAGAAAACAGUCAACAAGAAAACAGUCAACAAGAAAACAGUCAACAAGAAAACAGUCAACAAGAAAACAGUCAACAAGAAAACAGUCAACAAGAAAACAGUCAGCAAGAAAACAGUCAACAAAAAACAGUCAACAAGAAAACAGUCAACAAGAAAACAGUCAACAAGAAAACAGUCAACAAGAAAACAGUCAACAAGAAAACAGUCAACAAAAAACAGUCAACAAGAAAACAGUCAACAAGAAAACAGUCAACAAGAAAACAGUCAACAAGAAAACAGUCAACAAGAAAACAGUCAACAAAAAACAGUCAACAAGAAAACAGUCAACAAAAAACAGUCAGCAAGAAAACAGUCAGCAAGAAAACAGUCAACAAGAAAACAGUCAACAAAAAACAGUCAACAAGAAAACAGUCAGCAAGAAAACAGUCAACAAGAAAACAGUCAGCAAGAAAACAGUCAGCAAAAAACAGUCAACAAGAAAACAGUCAGCAAAAAACAGUCAACAAGAAAACAGUCAGCAAGAAAACAGUCAACAAGAAAACAGUCAGCAAGAAAACAGUCAACAAGAAAACAGUCAACAAGAAAACAGUCAGCAAAAACAGUCAACAAGAAAACAGUCAACAAGAAAACAGUCAACAAAAAACAGUCAACAAGAAAACAGUCAACAAGAAAACAGUCAGCAAAAACAGUCAACAAGAAAACAGUCAACAAGAAAACAGUCAACAAAAAACAGUCAACAAGAAAACAGUCAACAAGAAAACAGUCAGCAAAAACAGUCAACAAGAAAACAGUCAACAAGAAAACAGUCAGCAAGAAAAUGCUGCUCCCCCGUGUCGUUCAGGAGCCCAAACAAAGUUAGCGUGCUACAAUAUCGGACAGUAGAAACCAACCAGAAAGUUCGGAAAAUUGUCGGAAUCCUCCUUUGGCCACGACUGCCGACACAAGAAAGAAAACAAAGUAAA